UACGUAGGGUGCGAGCGUUAAUCGGAAUUACUGGGCGUAAAGGGCGCGUAGGCGGCCUAUUAAGUCGGACGUGAAAUCCCUCGGCUCAACCGGGGAACUGCGUCCGAUACUGGCAGGCUUGAAUCCGGGAGAGGGAUGUGGAAUUCCAGGUGUAGCGGUGAAAUGCGUAGAUAUCUGGAGGAACACCGGUGGCGAAGGCGGCAUCCUGGACCGGUAUUGACGCUGAGGCGCGAAAGCUAGGGGAGCAAACGGG
rnacentral:rRNA from 1 species